rnacentral:tRNA from 2 species
GGACGAUUAGCUCAGCUGGUUAGAGUACUUGCUUGACAUGCAAGGGGUCGGCGGUUCGAUUCCGUCAUCGUCCACCA